rnacentral:lncRNA from 1 species
ACGUGCACGCAAACGCUGACAACAGCGGCAGGCGCCUUUUAAGCGCUCAGGACAGCCAGAGCGGGAUGCACGCCUAGGCAGACAGGUAACACCCGCCUCGCGUUCACUUUUCCGGAGAAAUUCUCAAAUCUCACGGAGUGGCAACUGCGCAAGGGCGAAGCGGCGCAGUCUGGGGCCAGCUCCAGCGGGCGGGGCCUGGAGUCAGCCCUCUGCAGCCCACGCCCCUCACCGGCGCAGGGCAUCCACAUUAAUCUGGAUAAAGGCUGCUUCUUCAGCCACAGCUAAGGUGCAUGUAAUAGGAAUGAGAGCCACCUGUGUUUCAGAAAGCGUCUGGGAUUUUAGAGCUGCUUGUAACUGCAGCCUAACACAGCCUCAGCCGACUGAUACAUCCAGUGUCGUCAAAACAGAGCAGUGAACCAAGCAGCCGGCUCAUUGUUUGAGAAACAGUUGUUUCAUGGGUGAAUUGACCUCAUCUUCGGCAGCCACCGGUUUGCUAAGCAUUUACUUUGAACAUUUCUAUGGCUGGAGUACAAUGGCACGAUCUCGGCUCACUGCAACCUCCGCCUCCCAGGUUCAAGCGAUUCUCCUGCCUCAGCCUCCCGAUAGCUGGGAUUACAGGUAUGCACCACCACACCCAGCUAAUUUUGUAUUCUUAGUAGAAACGGGGUUUCUCCAUGUUGAUCAGGCUGGUCUUGAACUCCCGACCUCAGGUGAUCCACCUGCCUCGGCC